GCCUAUCUCAGUUCGGAUUGGAGGCUGAAACUCGCCUCCAUGAAGUUGGAUUCGCUAGUAAUCGCGCAUCAGCCAUGGCGCGGUGAAUACGUUCCCGGGCCUUGUACACACCGCCCGUCAAGCCAUGGGAGUUGGGGGUGCCUGAAGUUCGUGACCGCAAGGGGCGACCUAGGGCAAAACUAAUGACUGGGGCUAAGUCGUAACAAGGUACC
rnacentral:rRNA from 1 species